rnacentral:other from 1 species
CGCUUCCUGCAGUGUUCGAUACCGACCUGAAAGCCUUUCGGCCCUAAAUUAUUACCUCGGGGUCGCGCACUGUUGGCAGCAUUUGAGCAGGGCCGUUUCGACGGUAAGCCUGUUGCUGCCACGGCUGACCCCACCUGUUGCUCUGUGUCGAGAGCGACGGUUUGUAACGGCACAGGCGGGAAGCGC